GGGGCCGUGGCUCAGUGGUAGAGCACUCGCCUGGCAUGUGUGAGGCCCUGGGUUCGAUCCCCAGCACCA
rnacentral:tRNA from 1 species